GAUCCUGUUAGUUACCGGCGGUGGUUUUGAUAGUAGUUAUCAAGCUGGUAGUAGAUAAAAAUAGGAGCUUUCAUAAACUUUUGUACCUACAAUGACGCAUACAAAAUCAAAGAUUGAAGAUACCCUUUGAUUGGGAAUUAAAGGUAGUACCUUUAAGUAGCGAGUACAGUUCUUAAGGAUGGAUGAAUCUGUAAUGUAAGAGAGUUUGUUGGUUCUAUAUUCUUCAGGAAUGCACUCAACAUCAUACCGGUCUACAAUUUCAAUAGCCUGCCAUUGAAUUGAAGGAAGUAUAAAAGGUAGCUCCAGAAGUUACAAUCUCAAACAAACAAAAGAGAUGGAUCUUACAUCACGAGAAGCA
rnacentral:lncRNA from 1 species